GACGAACGCUGGCGGCGUGCCUAAUACAUGCAAGUAGGACGCAGUUGCGAACGGGUGAGUAACGCGUAGGUAACUACCUAUUAGAGGGGGAUAACUAUUGGAAACGAUAGCUAAUACCGCAUACUAGUAGAUGGACCUGCGUUGUAUUAGCUAGUAGGUAGGGUAAUGGCCUACCUAGGGAACGAUACAUAGCCGACCUGGGAGGGAGGUCCGCCAAAAUGGGACUGGGACACGGCCCCGACUCCUUCGGGGGGCAGCAGUAGGGAAUCUUCGGCAAUUGGGGGAAACCUGAACGAGCAACGGCGCGUGAGUGAAGAAGGUUUUCGGAGCGUAAAGCUCUGUUGUUAAGGAAGCGGUACUUAACCAGAAAGGGACGGCUAACUCCGUGCCAGCAGCCGCGGUAAUAC
rnacentral:rRNA from 1 species